AAAGAAGUCGAGCUGAACGCUCUAAGAAAGCUGAAAGAGGGUCGUCUCUACCUCUACAAAAGCGACAAUGUGGUGCAGGGGUUUUGAUAAACCCAUGCUUUGAAAACCGAAGACCCCGUCAGCCCUGUGAGUCACCGCAACUAUUUGGGGGCAAUGUUAUACCCAUGCCAUCUCGCGUUCGCAGAAUAAGGAAGACCACUAUUGGGGAGCCUCGGGUGCUUCUCCCGCUCAAACAUGCAUGCUCGACCGUUGCAUUGGAUGAGGCCUCUUCUACUGGGAUAGCAGUGGUCCCCUCUUAUACUAUAGAGACGCUAAAUGCUGUCGCAGAUUUACAGAGAGUGCAUCGCGGGUCAGAGGAGUUGUUCGCACCCUCAUUGGAUGCAUCAGAUUUCCCA